rnacentral:rRNA from 1 species
GACGAACGCUGGCGGCGUGCUUAACACAUGCAAGUCGAACGGAAAGGCCCUGCUUUUGUGGGGUGCUCGAGUGGCGAACGGGUGAGUAACACGUGAGUAACCUGCCCUUGACUUUGGGAUAACUUCAGGAAACUGGGGCUAAUACCGGAUAGGAGCUCCUGCUGCAUGGUGGGUGUUGGAAAGUUUCGGCGGUUGGGGAUGGACUCGCGGCUUAUCAGCUUGUUGGUGGGGUAGUGGCUUACCAAGGCUUUGACGGGUAGCCGGCCUGAGAGGGUGACCGGCCCCAUUGGGACUGAGAUACGGCCCAGACUCCUACGGGAGGCAGCAGUGGGGAAUAUUGCACAAUGGGCGGAAGCCUGAUGCAGCAACGCCGCGUGCGGGAUGACGGCCUUCGGGUUGUAAACCGCUUUCGCCUGUGACGAAGCGUGAGUGACGGUAAUGGGUAAAGAAGCACCGGCUAACUACGUG